UUCGCCCUUAGAGUUUGAUCCUGGCUCAGGACGAACGCUGGCGGCACGCUUAACACAUGCAAGUCGAACGAGAGAAGAGAAGCUUGCUUUUCUGAUCUAGUGGCGGACGGGUGAGUAACACGUGAGCAAUCUGCCUUUCAGAGGGGGAUACCGAUUGGAAACGAUCGUUAAUACCGCAUAACAUAAUUGAACCGCAUGAUUUGAUUAUCAAAGAUUUAUCGCUGAAAGAUGAGCUCGCGUCUGAUUAGCUAGUUGGUAAGGUAACGGCUUACCAAGGCGACGAUCAGUAGCCGGACUGAGAGGUUGAUCGGCCACAUUGGGACUGAGACACGGCCCAGACUCCUACGGGAGGCAGCAGUGGGGAAUAUUGCACAAUGGAGGAAACUCUGAUGCAGCGAUGCCGCGUGAGGGAAGAAGGUUUUAGGAUUGUAAACCUCUGUCUUUGGGGACGAAAAAUGACGGUACCCAAGGAGGAAGCUCCGGCUAACUACGUGCCAGCAGCCGCGGUAAUACGUAGGGAGCGAGCGUUGUCCGGAAUUACUGGGUGUAAAGGGAGCGUAGGCGGGAUCGCAAGUCAGAUGUGAAAACUAUGGGCUUAACCCAUAAACUGCAUUUGAAACUGUGGUUCUUGAGUGAAGUAGAGGUAAGCGGAAUUCCUAGUGUAGCGGUGAAAUGCGUAGAUAUUAGGAGGAACAUCAGUGGCGAAGGCGGCUUACUGGGCUUUAACUGACGCUGAGGCUCGAAAGCGUGGGGAGCAAACAGGAUUAGAUACCCUGGUAGUCCACGCCGUAAACGAUGAUUACUAGGUGUGGGGGGACUGACCCCUUCCGUGCCGCAGCAAACGCAAUAAGUAAUCCACCUGGGGAGUACGACCGCAAGGUUGAAACUCAAAGGAAUUGACGGGGGCCCGCACAAGCAGUGGAGUAUGUGGAUUAAUUCGAAGCAACGCGAAGAACCUUACCAGGUCUUGACAUCGUAUGCAUAGCUCAGAGAUGAGUGAAAUCUCUUCGGAGACAUAUAGACAGGUGGUGCAUGGUUGUCGUCAGCUCGUGUCGUGAGAUGUUGGGUUAAGUCCCGCAACGAGCGCAACCCUUACUGUUAGUUGCUACGCAAGAGCACUCUAGCAGGACUGCCGUUGACAAAACGGAGGAAGGUGGGGAUGACGUCAAAUCAUCAUGCCCCUUAUGACCUGGGCCUCACACGUACUACAAUGGCUGUCAACAGAGGGAUGCAAAGCCGCGAGGUGGAGCGAACCCCUAAAAGCAGUCUUAGUUCGGAUUGUAGGCUGCAACCCGCCUACAUGAAGUCGGAAUUGCUAGUAAUCGCAGAUCAGCAUGCUGCGGUGAAUACGUUCCCGGGCCUUGCACUCACCGCCCGUCA
rnacentral:rRNA from 1 species